AUGGGUCCCGGCCGGAGCCGGUUCUUCUGGCCACCCCUCCCCUCCCCCUCGGCCCCUGCCUUCGGCCCAGAGGGUCUGGCCUGCGUCUGGGUGGAUGUGGAGGGCCCCGGCCUUGCCUGCUGUCUAAACAGCCGUCGGUGGCGGGGCGGGGCAGGGGCUGGGUCACCGGUGGGCUCCGAAGCCCCGGCCUGGAUCCCCACGGACCCACUGCGCUGUCCGCGGCCCUGCGGUCACCCCGUGGGGGGCGGGCAGGAGGAGGGAGGGGCCCCUGGCCUAGCCGGCCCCCUCAGCUUCUCCUGGGCAGCCCUCCACAGGCACCCGGACGGACGGAAGGGAGGCACUGGCGGGCCUGCUCUUUUACCCACCAAGGGGGCUCCCACCGACAGAGAAACUGAGGCUGAGAGGGGUGUGAAAUUGGCCUUGGCCACCAGGCAGUGGGGACAGGAGGGGACGUGGGCAGCAUGGAGGCGCCGGCUGCCCCAUCCUGCUAAGUGGGUGCUUGGCGCCAGCUGUGCUGGGCGGACAGACAGACAGAUGCGAGCUUUCACUGGUGUCCCAAGCCAACCUAGCCCCUCCUUCCAGGGUGUUUGCCAGGACCUAAUGCACCCAGGCCGCCCCAUGCUGGGCAGGCAUACGGGCGGCGCCAGGCUGUCUCAGGCCUCCCUGGGAAUGGCCAGGCCCCGGGGUGGAUGCGAGGGUCCGAGGUGCCCACCAGAGAAACCAAGGAGGCCCUCCAACAAGGGCGAAGUGAAGUGGGAGCACCUGGGGCUCCCCAGGCCCGGCUUUCCUUCCGAUUCCGUGGCAGGCCCCUCUCUGAAUUGCCCACCUGCCUGGGUCCUGGCUCCCGUCUGGGCCCCUGGCCAUGUGGCCCCUCCUCCUUGGCUCUGUGCCAUGGUUCUGUCCCCGGUGACAAACCCAUCAUGGGACUGUAGCCCUUUGCACCUGCUGGGCCCUGCACUCUGUAGGGUAGGGCGGGAGGGUGGUACUCACUGCAGGGCAUUUGCUAGUGGUGUCACUGUUCCCUUCCAGGCCGGGAACCAGGAGGCCGAGAAGGGAAUCGGGGCCAGUCUGGCCCACACGUGGACAGCAGCGGUGAGCAGCAAGGCCGGUCCAAGCUGUUUCGCUUUGGGCUCCUGGCCUUCCUCCUGGGACCCUCGGCGGGAGUCUGUUCUCUGCCCGUCAGCUGCCCAGGGGCUGCCAACCUGGGGCCUGGAUGCUGAGGACCUUGGAGCCCACAUGUCCAUCGGCCCAGCGGGAGCCUGAGCCCUCCUCCCUCCCAGCCCAGGACUGGGGAAGUGAGGACUAACCAUGUUCUGGAUCAGGGCAUAAGGGCAGAGGUCUGAGGCUGGAGGACGUGUCCCAGGUCAGCCCAGGGGGGCCUCAGGGGCUAUUGUUGUGAGUAGCGGUCAUUGAUUGGUCGGUGCCCAGCAUUGUGUCAAUAAAUUGUACCUGUUAUAUACACACCUCACAAAGUGACGGUGGUCAUGGUGGAGGUGCCGAGGACGCUGCCCCAGCGCUUGGACACUGCCCUCUUGGUAUCACCUGUCACCUCCUCCAUUCUACAUGAGCUGCCUCUCUUAAUAUGGCCCCAAGUAUCCCUGGCUCUGAUCUUGAGGCUGGAUGUCUUCAAAGAAGUGCCCAGGCCCUUCCUGAGCUCCUGGCAGCACCCCGACCCCAUUCCACCCCACCAGUUGGUCUGUGGCCCGGACCUCGUCCCAGAAUAGCUCAUCGCAGCCAUACGCGACAGCCAGCAUCAAGCAUCUUGGAUUUCUGACAAAGGGACCCCCCACCUGGUGGCAGCUGACACCUGAGCCCACCCCACCCAGUGGCAAGGGGCAAGGGUGAGUGACCUGGCCGGAGACAGCUGCUGUGGGAACAGUCAGAAAAUCCCAAUGUCACUCGCCCUGGUUCU
rnacentral:lncRNA from 1 species